rnacentral:sRNA from 1 species
CAACCCACUCUCUGUGCUAUGACUUCAUUACUCUUUCCCAGCCCAGCCCUGGGCAAGCCCCUUACGAAGUCUCAGGCUACCUGGAUGACCACCCUUUCUUAUGAUGCUGCAAGGAGGGCAGGUGGGCAGAGCCCCGUGCAUCCUGGGCUCAGGCCAGGGACCCAAGAGCUUGGGAGAAGCUGGUUCUCAGACUGAAGGCCAGAGCCCAGCACCUUGUCACCAUCCCGGGGAGCAUCAUGGCACACAACAACCAGAGCCAAGAGUCACACACCCUCCAGACCACGGUUGUCUGUGAGUUGCUGGGGAACCGGAGCAGCUGGGGACACUGGCACUACAACUGUGAUGGCCAGGACUCCCUUCUUAGCACACUUGAGUCUUUCAACUCCAGCAAAAGCCAGCCAGAACCAAGCAUAGCUGCAGAAGGAGAGAAGGGAAGGAAACAAUCCUUCCUGACCUAGAGCUGCGUCUACCCUCUCCGGAAACACCUGAAAGCUGGGGUGGGACCACGGCCCACCGUAGGUGUGAUAGAUUGACAGGCCUCGGAAGUCAAAAUAAGUGGUUUCCUAGACCGGGUCGAGAGCAAGUCUCUAUUGGUCCCAACUGAGUUUUUUCAGCUGGUUUUUCAACCAAACAGCACCUCAUCUCCCAGUGAGGGGAAGGGAAGGCUGGGCUGAGAGCAGCAAGGCUGCUCAUCUCACCUCUCCCCACCCAGCCAUGCCAGCCGCCUCACCUGGUGGGGAGAGGUGGGCCUCACCUGGGUCCCCUGGCAGUGCUCUGUGAAGGGUCUUGACAUUGCACUGUAAUAAUAAAGGUGUGUGUGAAGUAUC